rnacentral:rRNA from 1 species
GACGAACGCUGGCGGCGCGCUUAGCACAUGCAAGUCGAACGGAAAGGCCUGCUUUCCCUUGUGGAUUGCGGGUACUCGAGUGGCGAACGGGUGAGUAACACGUGAGUGAUCUGCCCCCAACUUGGGUAUAAGCCUGGGAAACUGGGUCUAAUUCCCGAUAGGACUGCAGGGUGGUGCCUGUGGUGGAAAACGAUUUUCUAGUGGUUGGGGAUGAGCUCGCGGCCUAUCAGCUUGUUGGUGGGGUAAUGGCCUACCAAGGCGGCGACGGGUAGCCGGCCUGGGAGGGUGGACGGCCACAGUGGGACUGAGAUACGGCCCAGACUCCUACGGGAGGCAGCAGUGGGGAAUAUUGCACAAUGGGCGGAAGCCUGAUGCAGCGACGCCGCGUGGGGGAUGACGGCCUUCGGGUUGUAAACUCCUUUCGACCGCGAGGAAGCCACCUGGUUGGAAGGGUGGUGACGGUAGUGGUAGAAGAAGCACCGGCUAACUACGUG